UAAUUUGGUUAUUUUAAAUAAUGCAUUCAUUUCCUUUUGGAAGGGUUACUUCCCCUCAGCUAUAGAGGGAAAACUGAGUCAUACUAAAGGAAAUAAAUCUAUUAAACUAUUGCAUCAGUUACUGAAUUUGAGCUUUUAUUCUCUUCUGGCUGACAACUCUUCCAUGCUUGUUUCCAUUCAUUAUAAGUUAGAGAGGCAAGUUAGAGCAGUGUUUCUCAGUCUUUAAAAAGAAAAAGAAAGAAAAGAAAAAAACAAAAAGAUUUGUUCCCUUUUCACAAAUAUAAAUAUUCUAUACUCUUCUUAUAUUACAUUUAAAUUUUCUAAAUUAAUGAACAUUUUGACUGAAAGAAAAAUUUCAAGAAUUUAGGGUAUUUCCCCCCAAAUUCCUCAUGUUUCCCUCUCCUAAGAUUCAAAUACAUUCCCUAAGUGUGAGACACCAUAUGUUGGAAGUGCAAGUCAUUUCUCCCCACCAGAGUCAUUGGUAUCUGUCCAUUUGGGGAUCCUUUGUCAGUCUUCUUGUUCUUUAAAGUCUUUUUCGCCCUAAAUGGUCAGACUAUGGUUCAUCUGUAUGUCCAGAAAUAGAGCAGUUUCCACUACUAUAGAUAGUCUCCUCAUUUUCCCCCUGUAAAACCAUGCCUUCCAGAAAAGAAGGACACAAAGAAGCCAGCUAGUUCACACAAAAGUGUGCAAAGAAGUCACUUCUCUGUUUUCAAAGAAAACAGCCCAUGAAAACACUAGUAACAGGUUAGAGAUGGUUGGCCAAAGGCUGAAGUCCAGCAAACUCUUGGGGGCAGGGCAUUUCCCAAAUCAUGGAACAUGGAAAGAAAGUGGUGGCUUGGUGCUAUGGUAGUCUCACUCAACUGGAGAAACAAAAAACCCAGGAUUUGAGGGGCCAAAUUCCCAGAAGAAAGGGAACCAAAGAAAAGUUGGAAGUUGAAGAAAAAAAAAACUUAAAAAGAAAAAGCUAAGGAAUGCCAAAUACUGGAUAUGUGGAGGAAUUCGAUAAAAUGGAGAGCCUUAAUGAGAAAUGUGCACACUUGUGACCUAAAGAAUGAGCUCAUGGAGCCAAAGGAAAAGGACAGACCUAACAGGGGAAUCUGUGAAUCAUAUCAGAAGGAAUCUUUGCAUGUUUUGGACUCAGAAUGUGGAGGAUAUCCUGGGUGAUACUGGUGUCCUAGGUGUCCCCUCAUGGAAGAACAGAGAUGGACCAUUGAAUCAAUUCCCUGUAGCUUCCCUCUGCUGCCUGUAAAGAAGGGAGGUCCACGUGGACUUGGAGUUGGGAACCUGCGAUCAGAUCUGUGUACAAAUCCUGGCCUGCCACCUUUGUGUGAUUUGAACUGUAACAACUAUUUUCUUAUCUAUAGUAAUAAUAUUUAUGUUUCAGAAGACUGUGAAGAAGAUUAAGCAGGAGAAUGGGAUUAUCUGAGAAAUAAUUCAUUUGCAUAGUAAAUGUUCAAUUAACAGGAGCUAUUGUUACUCUGAAAAUCAGAAACCCUGACCGAGGCAAGUGGGCCAGGUUUGCCUUCAGUAACUCUAACCUCUCUUCUUAAUUCUUCUAGAGAUUCUCUUUUCUCCAAACUCCAGUGCUUCUGGCUUUAAGAUGGCCUGCUUUUCUUCCACUCUUUCCCUCUUUCUUCUCUCUUUAUUUUUUUUCUUUCUUUCCUCUUUUUUCUCUUUCCACCCCUCCUUCCUCUAGACAGACAAGGAAGUAUCUGAUAUUUCCUUUACGUCCAGUCAAAUCUUUGUUCUCAUAUAUCCUGAAAAAUUGCAUUUUAAUCGGUCUUACUGUAGAAUGAAAGACUUUGCCUCAGAGAAUGCUGGAGUCAGGUCUGGGUUCCAAUCCCGGAUCUGGGACUUACUUUGUGACCUCAGGCAAGUCACUUAACAUCUGAGCUUCAUCAGUAAAAGGGGACAAUAAUACCUACUACAUAGUGGCACCGAGAGGAUUAAAUACAAUGCAUGAUAUCAUUCAUAGUGGUGAUGAUGACACAGAUUUCUGAAGGCUCCCACCAAGGGCAGGCCUGCUUUGGUAAGGGGUAAGAUGGGCAUGUAACUAAGACAGGAGGGAUAGUCGGGUACCUCAAUCAAAUUCUUCUCACUUCCUUUGCUCAACUUUAAUCUCCCUUUAUCUAUUUCUGCUUUUACAUCCAUUCAAUAAAAACUUAUUUGUGUCUAAUACUGCAGUUUAAGUUGGAGUACAGCAGUAAACAAAGCAUGCCAGAACUUGGAAACUGCUGUUUAUUCUCACUCACACCUACUCUGCUUCCAGACCUCCAUCUCCAGCCUGGAAUCUCUCCUACGUUGUUCUCUUGCCAAAAAUGUCCUCAGUCUCCUUGCUGUUUCAGCACCUUCCAGCACUGACAAUUAAUGGUAGGGGGUAUGGGUGAAGGCGGGGAAAAAUCAGGUAAAGUAGAAAUCUAUGGGACAGGAGUAUGUGGAGAAGAUCUAGAGGAUGUCAGCUUGUACAUGGCAGAGGGCACACCCACCAAGUAGUGAGACCCAGCACCUCAUCUUUACAAGUACAGCUCUGUGUAUGCAUUACUGCUUCUCAAGUGUGCCUAACUACCCUGUAGCCCAAUAACAGUGUUGUAGGAAAUGCCCCACAUUUUUCAUGGAACACUCACAAGUUCCUUAAAUAAAAAUCACGGAGUCGGGAAAUAAGACUACUGGAUCCUAGUCCUAAACCUGCAAUGCAGUCACUGUGUGAUCUUGGUCAAAUUGUGGGCCCCAGUUUGCUAUAUCAACUUUAAAUUAUAUGGUUACAGUUUUAACAUAUGACCACCAAUUCUUUGAAAUUCUGCUAAGAAAUGGAGAAUAAUUCUCCCCUUAAGUGAAUAGGGCUGGAUUUAGUGACUCACUUCUAAUGAAUAGAGUAUGAAAAGGGAAACAUAGUUUACAAUGGAGAAACCUGAAAAACAUCAUCUUAACAAGUAACCGAGGUCACCAUCACCAGUAAUAAGUCAUGCUGGUAUCACACGCUCCCUGAUAGGAAAUGACAAGAAAGGCAUAUCACCUUUUUGUGAUUCUUCCCCCAAAUCCACGAUCUCAGUCUGUUCCUAAGAAAGCAUCAGAAAAAUCCAGAAACAUUCUACAAAAUACCUGACUACUGCUCUUCAAAAGUGUCAAGGCCAUGAAACACAAGGGAAGACUGGAAUGUAAGAUCCUGGAACAGAAAUAGAAUUGAAAAUAGAGGAACAAGACAUGGAAGGUUCGCAAAGCAACGGAAGGCUUUAUUUAGUUGCAAGACAAAUAGAACUCUUUUCUAAGUGGAGAAAUCUGGUUCUGCUUUUGGAUGCUGUCUGAUUCUGAAUUGUGAACUCCCAAGAUGUCAAGUGUUAGAUGUCUUUGGAGUAGACAUAAUAAUACUCAUUUAGAUGGACCAAGGAAUGGCAGAGACAUCCUUUAAAAGCAGUAUGUUGAUAUUUGGUUCAUGUAAUGUAAUGUUUAUUUUUGAGUCAUGAAGAGAAAGUCUGAGGUUUAAUGACAUUCCUUGUUGGAAAUUAGCAGCUAAGAUUUGUAAAAAUGAUUGUUUAUAGGCUACAAAAAGGACUGACCAAAGGCAAUUUAAACUCUAAAAAUCAAGUCUUUGACUGAUAUUUGUUCCUUAAAAAAAAAAAAGAAAAAUAAAAACAGAUCACAUUGCUUACUGUAUCCACCCAAAGGUAUAGAUUUUAAUGACUAGGAAAGCUUCUGUGAACUCUAACUCAAUAUCGAAUGGUUUUGUCCACCAUUUGCAUUAAAGAGGAAACAAACACUCAAGAUACCCAGUGAUGUCAAUGGAUCACCAAAAAUCACCCCUACCAGAAGAGCUUCUCUGAAUUUAAGGUUCAGAUGUGCCAAAAUAUAACACUGAACUUGGAUAAUUUCACAGAUAUGUA